AGGCCAGCUACCAGCUACGCAUUGCUACUUCACAGUUCAGUGUUCUGACUUCUAUGGCGUGGUUUGCCGUGCUUCUUAUUUAAAAGCACAGCAUGCUGAUCCGCCGGCUGCCAGGUCAUGCCUGCACCUUCUCCUGCAGACUUUUCCUGAGUCUAUGUCACUGUCUUCAGACACGCCAGAAGAGGGGGUCGGAUCCCAUUACAGAUGGUUGUGAGCCACCAUGUGGUACUGGGAAUUGAACUGAGGACCUUUAGAAGAGCAGUCACUGAUCUUAACUACUGAGUCAUCUCACCAGCCCAACAAUGUCUUUCAAGUUCCCCUCCGUCUCUGUUCGGAUUUCUCUGGAUGGCUCAGAAUCCAUUUUAGAACACGGGAAGCAAAAUGUGUGAGUUCCACUUGUGCUUCUGCAGGUGCUGUGGUAGCUGGGAUAACCUUUGCUCACUUGCUGGCCGAGACCAAGCUGUUAUUUUAAUGUCUACUGAGAGUUAAAGACAGCACAGAAAAUUCCAAAACCACAUCCUAACACCUAAAGUCCACACAGUGUCUGCACAGAUGGCAAAAUAUUUCCCUGGAAUCUUAAUUUACCAGGUCUAUAUACAGAUCUGGGGGUUGGGAGAAAAGGGGGGUUCUUUUGAGGCACCGCUGAAGAUUGAAAAAAAGAAAAAGAAAGAA
ensembl:processed_transcript Gm12811 predicted gene 12811